GACGAGCGCUGGCGGCGUGCUUAACACAUGCAAGUCGAACGGAAAGGCCCUGCUUUUGUGGGGUGCUCGAGUGGCGAACGGGUGAGUAACACGUGAGUAACCUGCCCUUGACUUUGGGAUAACUUCAGGAAACUGGGGCUAAUACCGGAUAGGAGCUCCUGCUGCAUGGUGGGGGUUGGAAAGUUUCGGCGGUUGGGGAUGGACUCGCGGCUUAUCAGCUUGUUGGUGGGGUAGUGGCUUACCAAGGCUUUGACGGGUAGCCGGCCUGAGAGGGUGACCGGCCACAUUGGGACCGAGAUACGGCCCAGACUCCUACGGGAGGCAGCAGUGGGGAAUAUUGCACAAUGGGCGGAAGCCUGAUGCAGCAACGCCGCGUGCGGGAUGACGGCCUUCGGGUUGUAAACCGCUUUCGCCUGUGACGAAGCGUGAGUGACGGUAAUGGGUAAAGAAGCACCGGCUAAUUACGUG
rnacentral:rRNA from 1 species